rnacentral:tRNA from 1 species
UCAUGAUUAGUGUAAAUUGAUGAGCACAUGAAAUUUUGAUUUUCAAAGUUCAGGGUUAAUUCGUAUUAUGAA